rnacentral:ncRNA from 1 species
CCAGAUGCUAUGAGGGAGAAUAGUAAAAAAGUGAUGUUUCCCAGAGAGCAAGGAAUAGGUGAGAGCCUUGUAAACUAGCUUUUUGAAACCCGCUCCGGAGUAUAAUGAUGAAAAAAUCAUUACGUUUUAAUCACGUUACGAUUAGCAAAAGUGAGUCAAUUGACUAAUUAGGGUGGUACCGCGGGCUAACUCUCGUCCCUUAU